UUUAAAGCAACUAAGGGCGCAUGGUGGAUGCCUUGGGUCUGAGAGGCGAGGAAGGACGUGGUAAGCUGCGAUAAGCCAGGGGGAGCUGCACACAAGCAUUAUAUCCCUGGAUUUCCGAAUGGGUCAACCCACUAUACUGAAGGUAUAGUACUCGAAAGAGAGCCAACCCCGAGAACUGAAACAUCUAAGUACCGGGAGGAAAAGAAAACAAUAGUGAUUCCCUGAGUAGUGGCGAGCGAAAUGGGAAUAGCCUAAACUUAAGCGGCGUGCCGCUUGAGGGUUGUAGGACUGCAUUUAGAAAUCAUCAUCAAGUAAAAUCAUCUGGAAAGUUGAGCCAUAGAGGGUGAUAGCCCCGUAAACGAAAAUUGAUGAGGACGAGCAGUAUCCUGAGUAAGGCGGGACCGGAGGAAUCCUGCCUGAAUCUGCCAGCACCAUCUGGUAAGGCUAAAUACUCCUCAGAC
rnacentral:rRNA from 1 species